GAACGAACACAAUCCUGCAGAGGCACUUUCUUGCGGCAAUGCAGUUCACAUCCCCCUUGCUCGGCGGGUACAUGAUGUACCAUCGCAAGUCGAUGAGUACGAUGCGCUACAGCAAGUGGAAGGGUGCACGCGGCGGCCUCAGUCACUUCUACAAUCGAACCGCCAUGCUGGAGGAAGUGCCGGUGAAUAUGCCGGUCUCUAUCGCGGAUCGGCGCAUGAUGGCCUACGUGCACCGCUCUCGCCUGCGUCACUUUCAGCUUUUUCGGUCGUACCAGCAGAAGUCGAACUCGACGGAGUGCAAGUUGCGCGAAGGUGAAUUUCUCCGCCGCCGGUGGCACCGGCAGCUGCAGAAAUCCUUCAUUGCCUUUAUGCAAUUCAAAACAAUGAAGGUGCUGGAGGAGCAGGCGAAGCUGGUUUCGCAGUAUGGGCAGGCGUCCGUGAACGCCGCCCUGGGCGACCCACAGGUCGCGGCAGGCGAUGUGGCACACGAACGCAAGUACGUGGCACUCCAUCGCCGAGUGCAGACACUGCCCCGAAUUCAGCUCGUGCCCAAGCACGUGGCUACGAUGAAGCAGAUUCACAACGACCGCUUCAACUACCGCUGGCGCGUCAACUAGGCCCGCUCUUUUUCUGUGUUCUGCGGAUCUGAAGGCGGAGCAGCACGCGCGCCGAACUCCGUAGGCGCUUAUGCUUUACCAUCGACUUCUCCGGCGGAGCAUCGUCCAGAAGACGUCGCUGCCUUCCAGAUGACUUAGCCAACCGCGUGGUGCUUUGCCGUCCUUCGUCCUCCCACACCGCCCACGUCCCGCUUCGCUUCUGCCUAUGAGGCCACCGAAUGCCCAUGUGGGACCGGUCUAGCUGGAACUCGAGAUGUCUUCUGCUCAGUUGUGCAGGGGCAAUGCCAACUUUCAUUUUCGCCUCGCAUCUCUCGUUUUUGUUCGUUUCGCUCCUGCUCGCCCGAUGAAG
rnacentral:misc_RNA from 1 species